GACGAACGCUGGCGGCGUGCUUAACACAUGCAAGUCGAACGGAAAGGCCCUGCUUUUGUGGGGUGCUCGAGUGGCGAACGGGUGAGUAACACGUGAGUAACCUGCCCUUGACUUUGGGAUAACUUCAGGAAACUGGGGCUAAUACCGGAUAGGAGCUCCUGCUGCAUGGUGGGGGUUGGAAAGUUUCGGCGGUUGGGGAUGGACUCGCGGCUUAUCAGCUUGUUGGUGGGGUAGUGGCUUACCAAGGCUUUGACGGGUAGCCGGCCUGAGAGGGUGACCGGCCACAUUGGGACUGAGAUACGGCCCAGACUCCUACGGGAGGCAGCAGUGGCGAAUAUUGCACAAUGGGCGGAAGCCUGAUGCAGCAACGCCGCGUGCGGGAUGACGGCCUUCUGGUUGUAAACCGCUUUCGCCUGUGACGAAGCGUGAGUGACGGUAAUGGGUAAAGAAGCACCGGCUAACUACGUG
rnacentral:rRNA from 1 species